rnacentral:ncRNA from 1 species
UGUUAGAGGUGCUGUUUAUAAAGAGUAGUAAAUAGGAGCUGGCGAGCUAAGAUGAUUUAUGAAAGGUAUGAUGGCCGAAGGAAUAAUUUAUGCAAAAAGUUAUUUCUGGGUAUGCAUAGAAUAUAUGUAUAACUGUCACGAAAGUGGAGUGCUA